AUUGAACGCUGGCGGCAGGCCUAACACAUGCAAGUCGAGCGGAUGAAGGGAGCUUGCUCCUGGAUUCAGCGGCGGACGGGUGAGUAAUGCCUAGGAAUCUGCCUGGUAGUGGGGGAUAACGUCCGGAAACGGGCGCUAAUACCGCAUACGUCCUGAGGGAGAAAGUGGGGGAUCUUCGGACCUCACGCUAUCAGAUGAGCCUAGGUCGGAUUAGCUAGUUGGUGGGGUAAAGGCCUACCAAGGCGACGAUCCGUAACUGGUCUGAGAGGAUGAUCAGUCACACGGGAAGGGGGACACGGACCAGACUCCUACGGGAGGCAGCAGUGGGGAAUAUUGGACAAUGGGCGAAAGCAUGAUCCAGCCAUGCCGCGUGUGUGAAGAAGGUCUUCGGAGUGUAAAGCACUUUAAGUUGGGAGGAAGGGCAGUAAGUUAAUACCUUGCUGUUUUGACGUUACCAACAGAAUAAGCACCGGCUAACUUCGUG
rnacentral:rRNA from 1 species